GUUGAGAGGAAUGUUGUCUGGUUCGGGACCAUUCAUAUUGUGUGAAUCAAAAACAUCAUCUUGAUGAAUGAAUGAUUUCGUACCAGGCUUCAUUCCCCCCAAC
rnacentral:pre_miRNA from 1 species